rnacentral:rRNA from 1 species
GGAGGGUGCUAGCGUUGUUCGGAAUUACUGGGUGUAAAGGGUGCGUAGGCGGUCUGUGAAGUCUGGUGUGAAAGCCCUCGGCUCAACCGAGGAAGUGCGCUGGAAACCAGCAGACUGGAGUGCGGUAGGGGAUCGUGGAAUUCCUGGUGUAGCGGUGAAAUGCGUAGAUAUCAGGAAGAACACCGGUGGCGAAGGCGACGAUCUAAGCCGUUACUGACGCUAAAGCACGAAAGCGUGGGGAGCAAACAGGGAUUAGAUACCCUGGUAGUCCACGCUGUAAACGAUGGGUACUAGGUGUUGGCCCCUUUUUAGGGUCGGUGCCGCAGCUAACGCAUUAAGUACCCCACCUGGGAAGUACGGUCGCAAGGCUA